rnacentral:rRNA from 1 species
UACGUAGGGUCCGAGCGUUGUCCGGAAUUACGGGGCGUAAAGAGCUCGUAGGUGGUUUAUCGCGUUGUUCGUGAAAACUCACAACUCAAUUGUGGGCGUGCGGGCGAUACGGGCAGACUGGAGUACUGCAGGGGAGACUGGAAUUCCUGGUGUAGCGGUGGAAUGCGCAGAUAUCAGGAGGAACACCGGUGGCGAAGGCGGGUCUCUGGGCAGUAACUGACGCUGAGGAGCGAAAGCGUGGGGAGCGAACAGG